AUGAACGCUGGCGGCGUGCCUAAUACCUGCAAGUCGAGCGAACGGACGAGAAGCUUGCUUCUCUGAUGUUAGCGGCGGACGGGUGAGUAACACGUGGAUAACCUACCUAUAAGACUGGGAUAACUUCGGGAAACCGGAGCUAAUACCGGAUAAUAUUUUGAACCGCAUGGUUCAAAAGUGAAAGACGGUCUUGCUGUCACUUAUAGAUGGAUCCGCGCUGCAUUAGCUAGUUGGUAAGGUAACGGCUUACCAAGGCAACGAUGCAUAGCCGACCUGAGAGGGUGAUCGGCCACACUGGAACUGAGACACGGUCCAGACUCCUACGGGAGGCAGCAGUAGGGAAUCUUCCGCAAUGGGCGAAAGCCUGACGGAGCAACGCCGCGUGAGUGAUGAAGGUCUUCGGAUCGUAAAACUCUGUUAUUAGGGAAGAACAUAUGUGUAAGUAGCUGUGCACAUCUUGACGGUACCUAAUCAGAAAGCCACGGCUAACUACGUG
rnacentral:rRNA from 1 species